CAUCCAUGGAUUACUGUCAUUAGGGUAUGCUCUGAAUAGUACACUGUAGGAGCCUUGUCUCCUGGUUUUGUCAGCCAGGAGGAGCUCACAGUAGGCACUUUGUCAUUCUUCUUUUAUAGUUCCUUAUUUGUCCAUAACUUUAUGUCUGUCUUUCUUUCAGGGAGUUCUCUGGCUCCAAGAACAUACUCAACUUGGAUGUGGGGGUGGGCCUUCAGUCUUUUUACUAGAACUUUGUGUCAGGGAUGAGGUGACUGUCAACCAACCGGCUGAAGCUUUGUAGAAACUAAAUGAAGAACGAGACUGAUGCUUUGCCAUGUUCCAGCCCAGCGCCACAGAGCAGUGCCCCCUUGUGGACCACCACCUGUCCAGAGCCAUGAUAUAAAUAAGGAGGCCUUUAAUACAGCCCGGUCCCUGUUGCUCAUUGGCCAUACUAUUAAAG